GUCCAUGGCCACAUCACCCUGAACAAGCCUAAAUUCUGAUCUCGGAAGCUAAGCAGUGUCGGGCUUGGUUAGUACUUGGAUGGGAGACCACCUAGGAAGACCAGGUGCUGUAGGCA
rnacentral:rRNA from 1 species